ACCCCUUGGCAGUGGGCAGAGACACCUUGUUGGUGGUAUUGUUCUUAUAUCAGUCAGGGGCAGAUCAGAGGGCAAUCCUUUAAUCAUCCUAGCUUAAUGCCUGGCUUAGUGUUCAAAGCUAUUUUAUACCUAGGAUGCAUAA